GGGCUCUCGAUGCUAUUCAUCCAUUUCAGAGCCAUGUGGUCCGUUAUCACCUUGAAGUGGUAGCCCUUCAGAGUAGUUCCUCUAUGCUGCCUUCAGCGUUGUGAAGUCGGGGCAUGCCAGGAUUGGGUCGGCGACCAGCCUGGAUUUGACGACCUCGAAUGCAUCUUGGAGACUUCAGCUGCGCUAUUGCCGCUACCUUCUCCGGAUCCGUCUCAAUACCUUGAUCUGUCACGCGUUCGCCGCCCGUAGCCUCCUUCUUUUAAGUUGCGCAUGUGCUCCUGCAGCGUCCGCCCGAUCGUCCUGAUAUGCGAAGGCGUGCGGCAUC